rnacentral:rRNA from 1 species
GACGAACGCUGGCGGCGUGCUUAGCACAUGCAAGUCGAACGGAAAGGCCCUGCUUUUGUGGGGUGCUCGAGUGGCGAACGGGUGAGUAACACGUGAGUAACCUGCCCUUGACUUUGGGAUAACUUCAGGAAACUGGGGCUAAUACCGGAUAGGAUCUCCUGCUGCAUGGUGGGGGUUGGAAAGUUUCGGCGGUUGGGGAUGGACUCGCGGCUUAUCAGCUUGUUGGUGGGGUAGUGGCUUACCAAGGAUUGGACGGGUAGCCGGCCUGAGAGGGGGACCGGCCACAGUGGGACUGAGAGACGGCCCAGACGGCUACGGGAGGCAGGAGUGGGGAAUAUUGCACAAGGGGCGGAAGCCGGAGGGAGCAACGCCGGGUGCGGGAUGACGGCUUUCGGGGUGUAAACCGCUUUCGCCUGUGACGAAGCGUGAGGGACGGUAAUGGGUAAAGAAGCACGGGCUAAUUACGU